CCUCGGACAGAGCAGCUGCUGGCAGGGACCAGGGAACAAGGGGGAGCUCCUGGCUGGCUACUGGGACGUGCGGGCUGGAGGCCCAGCCGGAGAGGUGGGCGAAGGUGCUGGGCCGCAGGGAGCUGGAGCAGCUCUGGUGGAGAAGUCAAGGAGAGGCAGCAGGAGGCUGCUAGCUACAGGGUCCCUGGACCUGCAGUAGGGGGUGGGCCCUGGUGUGUAACCCCCCAACCACCUCUGGGGAAGUGGCUGGACUAUAGAACUGGGAGCUAUUUAAGGGGAGAACACAAUGAGAGUUAAUCCCUGAAACGGCCAGCAGGAGGCGCUGCUCUGGCGUGUAGAUCCGUCACAAGGGGUCACGGCGACGGCCAGCAGACGGUUCAGCCCCAUGCAGGGAGGAGGCGAGGGCAGCACCGGGGAGCUCCAGUUGUGGGCCGGCCCCACAGGCGCCAGGUGCUGCACAAACGCAGAACAAAGAGACAGUCCCUGCCCCUGGGUUUAUAAGCUUAGUAAAUCUAAAACCACUGGAUGCACACACCAUGGGCGUAAUCAACUGGAUAUCAAUGACACGGGUGCCCCUUCCCAGCUAGCUCAGGCCUGAAGAAGCUGACAGCCGGCACAUCUACCAAUCCUGCAGCUUGUUGAAGUUUCCUCCAUGAAUCCAUUUGGGGCGCCCUUCACGUUGGCCACACCCGACUCUGCGAGGCGGGUCCGUGGCAGGUUGGACUGAACAAACUCCACGUCCUUGUUUAUGUUCGUUCAAGGCCGCGAGGGCUGACGUUUCAACCCGCCCCGCUCACGCCAGCUGUCAGCACCCGUCUCCGCGAGAGCGAGACCAGCCAGCGCCCGGGGGAG